AGACCCGAAACCCGGUGAUCUAGCCAUGGGCAGGUUGAAGGUUGGGUAACACUAACUGGAGGACCGAACCGACUAAUGUUGAAAAAUUAGCGGAUGACCUGUGGCUGGGGGUGAAAGGCCAAUCAAACCGGGAGAUAGCUGGUUCUCCCCGAAAGCUAUUUAGGUAGCGCCUCGUGAAUUCAUCUCCGGGGGUAGAGCACUGUUUCGGCUAGGGGGCCAUCCCGGCUUACCAACCCGAUGCAAACUGCGAAUACCGGAGAAUGUUAUCACGGGAGACACACGGCGGGUGCUAACGUCCGUCGUGAAGAGGGAAACAACCCAGACCGCCAGCUAAGGUCCCAAAGUCAUGGUUAAGUGGGAAACGAUGUGGGAAGGCCCAGACAGCCAGGAUGUUGGCUUAGAAGCAGCCAUCAUUUAAAGAAAGCGUAAUAGCUCACUGGUCGAGUCGGCCUGCGCGGAAGAUGUAACGGGGCUAAACCAUGCACCGAAGCUGCGGCAGCGAACGUAUCACCCAAGACAACUUUACGGAGUUGACGAUUGACGGAGCGAAGCGACGUCAAAGCGUUCAUUAAAGUCGAGUUGGCUUAGGGAUACGUUCGUUGGGUAGGGGA
rnacentral:rRNA from 3 species